AGAUGCGAUCAUACCAGCACUAAAGCACCGGAUCCCAUCAGAACUCCGAAGUUAUGCGUGCUUGGGCGAGAGUAGUACUAGGAUGGGUGACCUCCUGGGAAGUCCUCGUGUUGCAUUCC
rnacentral:rRNA from 1 species